rnacentral:lncRNA from 1 species
AACAUUAGGCUCGAGUCUCAGCUCCCUAGUUGUGUAUCUUUCCCCGGUUUCUGGUUAGCAAUUUAGUCCCUUUCAGGGGAACUACAUCGCCCUGAUCCUCGUGCCAGACGAGGUAUGUAGGCAGGUGGUCGUGCGAGACCACUCCGGGCAACCUUUUUAUUUUUUGCGUGUGUUUACUUGUUAUCUGACUGUGUGUUUUGGCUCGGAUGCCGACGUAAGUCCAGUAAGUGGCUGUCGGGCUCCACGUUUGCCGUUUUGUGCGUGUUUUGGUUCGGAUGCCGACG